rnacentral:rRNA from 1 species
GACGAACGCUGGCGGCGUGCUUAACACAUGCAAGUCGAACGGAAAGGCCCUGCUUUUGUGGGGUGCUCGAGUGGCGAACGGGUGAGUAACACGUGAGUAACCUGCCCUUGACUUUGGGAUAACUUCAGGAAACUGGGGCUAAUACCGGAUAGGAGCUCCUGCUGCAUGGUGGGGGUUGGAAAGUUUCGGCGGUUGGGGAUAGACUCGCGGCUUAUCAGCCUGUUGGUGGGGUAGUGGCUUACCAAGGCUUUGACGGGUAGCCGGCCUGAGAGGGUGACCGGCCACAUUGGGACUGAGAUACGGCCCAGACUCCUACGGGAGGCAGCAGUGGGGAAUAUUGCACAAUGGGCGGAAGCCUGAUGCAGCAACGCCGCGUGCGGGAUGACGGCCUUCGGGUUGUAAACCGCUUUCGCCUGUGACGAAGCGUGAGUGACGGUAAUGGGUAAAGAAGCACCGGCUAACUACGUG